AACGAUGUUGUCAAUUUUCGAAUGUUCAUUUGUUUCAGUGUGUCUGUCAAUGACAUUUCAUUUUUGUGCACGCUGUAGAAUGUAAACAAACAAUCUGAAAAGUUUUGUCGAGUGUGUCGGGGGAACCUGUUACGUUUGGUUUUGGCCGUCCCGGAACUGGUUCUGGAGGGGAAUCUUCGACGUCGGCCACCGCGGCAGUUUCGCGUCACCGACUCAAAAACGCUUCUCGAGGCGGACAAUCUAUCCUCACUGACCAUCGAUUAAAGCCGACAAUCAACUGCCCAGAGUAUUGAAGGCCUACGAAGCAUGAAGACGAAACUCGUUUACGGGACGAUGACGUCAGGCCGUGAGAUUUUUUGCUCAGCAACCGGGAGAUCUUUUGGAAAAAGGUUUUGCAACGACCACAAUCAAUCAAGGCGUUUGACUAAGAGAAGCGAUUACAAAGAGCCUACUCGGUGGCCAACGAUGCGUUUUACAAGACAUGUUGCUGUUUGUUGCUGUCAUUCACACUUAGCAGUUGGAAAAGUAAACGAUGGCCUGCCGGAAGCAGUGUACAUUUGUUGCCCCCUGCAACAUCUGCCGGCCCUGACUAAACGAUGAGUAUAAGGGUCAGAUCGGCCGGUAGCUCCAUCAGGAGCUGAACUCGGACAUCACCAGCACUUGAAAGAUCAAGUUCAAAAGGGCUUACAACCAGGCUGGAAACAAAUCUUCAAGCAUGGGAUCUCCAUUGACGAGCUGCUCAAGUGAAGCCAGAACCACUGUGAACACAAUAAACAAAAGCGUGCGCGUUCGUGCGGGAAGCUUUUCCGCGUCCAGCUGGACGCUGUCAACGCGCGCUUAUUGUUGGACCAGUCCAAAUGCUAGAACAGCAUCAAACUAUUGUUUGGCCAGCUUGUAGAUUCCAAGACUUUGGCCUAACUCCUGAAGAACGUCAUUCACUUCUGCUGGUGAUUUUAAA